ensembl:lncRNA
CAGAAAAGCAGAAGGUUAUUCACUGUCCACAGUUUGCAGCUGCAAAGCAGUUCAGUUUCAAAAUGUUUCUGAUAACUGUAGGUGGGAUGCCUUCCAGCCAUAUGAUUAAAUGAUAUGGUAAAUUUUAAGAGAUCUAAAGUCAGCUGUAACACAGAAAGUAUGAAAUCUUUGUUCUUCAUAAAAAAUAAUUAAUUAAAUGGCUGAAUUCUUUUCUGUAUUAACCCUGAGAGUGUUAGCAGCUUCCCUUCUGAAUCAGAAUACAUUCUGAAAUCAGAAUAUAUGUAUAUAUAUAUAUCAGCCAUCUAAAGGAACCAGGAGCUAGUAAUGAUUAUAAUUAUUUUAAAGGGCAAUGCUUUAGUACUUUUCCAGUGUGCAUUAAUAUAGUGCUCUGGAGCACAACUCUAAGCAUCCAUUUACAUUUUGUUUAAGUCAGCACCAGUAUUGUCCUGCACAUGCAUUUAUAUCCUUGCACAAAUGCUGUACAAAUAAAAUAUACAUACAAGUAUAUGAAGGUUCAAAAAGAAAAUUAGGGGUGAAAAUUCAGCACCCCAAUGUUUUAUACAGACUUUCAGAAGAACCACAUUUCUCUCCUCUGGAUUCCCAGUCUGCAAGGAUGAUGUGCCUAAUUCUUGGACCUAGAAGGUGCUAUGAUUUCUUCCUGGAAGGAAUUUGACCCUUUCCUGACAGCUCUUGAUGAUCUUAAUUUGCCAACAUUUUGGAAGUGAAGCUUCAGCUACAGAACACGUCAGCUGCACCCUCCUUGACCCUAACACUUAGUACUCCAGAUUCAGCCUUUUUUUCCUUUCCUUUUUCUUUUUUAAUAAUUUUUUGAGCUUCUAUGCAAUGGAGAUGAUUAAAGAUGAAGAUGAUUAAAGAUGAACAUGAAGAUGAUUAUCAGGGUAUAUCCAAUACCAUGACGAGUACCUGCAUGAGAUGUUAUAAGGUAAUCUUGCAGAAUCAAGUGAAAUCAGCACAGGCACAAUUGCUUCACUGAACUUUGGGGACUGCUGAGCGGAGAAGCCAUACCUGUUGCUGCAGAAGACUUGGAAGAGAAGGCAGAAUAUGAAACACAUUAUUGAUGGAUGGGCUCGGGACACUGAAUUCAGAAGACUGAAUUGCCACAUUGGUUUUGCUGAACAGAGGAGCUUAUUUCAUCCAAACUAUCAAAUUUGAAGGGUGAAUACAUGGCUGAUAAUCAAAUAUUCCUAACUGUGCAGGGUUUUUUAAAUUUUCUGGAAAUGCAAAAUAUGUAUGACAAAUGGUUUCAGAUACGCAUUUCAAAUCAGUUUAGAUAAAAAAUGUGGGUAAAAGCAAUUAGGCUUUCUUAUUAAUAUCAUCACCUGUCACAUCCUUAUGCCGCUUUGCCAGCAAAAAGUAUUGCUAACAGAGGUGUACCAAGAGAAGAUUAUAAGCAGGUCUGAAGGCAUAAGAGAAUUUCUUUACAAGAGAUGGUAAAACGAGAUGACUCUGGAAAAUGUGAAAUAUAGAUCUGGUUGAUCUGACAGUAGACUAAUAGAAUACUAUUGAAUAUUUUUGUCCAGUUUGUCUGACAAAAUGGCAUCAUUUUUCUCAACUUUGCUUACAAAAAUUACAAUGUUUUAUUCUCUAUUUUCUUUUCAGGUGGUAGACAGCUUGAGUAAAAUAAAAUCUGUGCAUCUCUGUGCUAAUUAUGCUUUUUUUUUUUUAAGGAAAAAAAGCUUGUAGGGGAAAUAAUACUUAGAUUUGGAUCUUAAUUCUAGCACAGUGUUUAUAUGCACAGAUAGAUGAUGUUUUGCUUGAACAAAACCAAACCACUGAAAAUAAAAUUUUGUUUGUGAAUAAUAUUUGAAGUACAUGUUAGUUAAAUCUAGCUGUAGGACAAAGGGAAAGGAAGAUCAUUGGCAAUGUUGAAGCUUUCACUGACAAGUUAGAAAAGUUGUAUAUGAUAGUAUAUAUAAUAUAAUAAAUGUAUAUUAACAAUUUAUAUAAUAAUAGUUUUCUUUUGAAAAUGUUGACAUCCUUAGUUUCAUUAUGCAAUAUUACAAGUACUCGUUUUGAAAAAUCUUUCUGUUUCACUGAAAAACAGCCCACUCUACUUAGGAGAAGGAUGGGUAAAAGGGUUAAGAAACAAAAUGAAACCUGAAGGCUGACAUUAAUUUUUUCAGGCUUUCCUUAUCUCGAAAACCUGAACCGCUGAUUUGAUUAGACAAAACUGCUGUUUGCCUGCCUUUAUGUAACUGAAUGUAACAAAUACACAGGACUGUAUAUUAUAUGGUGUUUUCCAUAAUGUAAUAUAUUUUCAGGAGUCCAAAGAGUUUCUGAAGGUAAUGAAAAUAUUUUGGAGGUAUUCACUAUGGGUUUGCUGCAUGGAUUAUUGUGCCUGAAAUGUGGUUAUAGUAUGCAUAGCGCAUUGGUGCAGUGGAAUUAGUGUCUUCUUUUCACAUUGGAUAUUUACCUAAGUUAGUAAGACUAAUGCCUAACUUUUGUAACAGAUUUGAGAAGACAUGUUAGCCCUUUUCUGUCAGGAACUACACACCUACACACACACACACACACACACACACACACAAAACCAUUAUUCAUUAUAGUGUGGAAUAUUGUAUUAACAGAUUGCGUACCUUUUUACAGUAGGAGUUUUUAUUUGUUUGGGAAUCACAGACAGCACCUUUCAUAGAAAUUUCAGUCUUUAUUUCGGCCUUGGAUCCUGUUACGUUCUCCAUAUUCCAUACUUUUCUGAUCUGUGGUAUCUGUAGCAAUGCAUCAGCUCCAAACCUUAUCUCAAGAUUAUGAAUGUAUGGUAAUUAUGAAUGGUAUAAAAAGCUGACCUAGACAGUUGUUAACCUCUAUCAGAAUACAAGUGAAGAGAACUGAUGUUUGAUGAAAUGUUUAUUUUGUUCUGUGAAUUUCCUGCAUACAAUGCUUGAGGUUACAUUGACCAUAAAACUGGAGAUAAAAUCACAUUUUCCUACCAGUCAUUUUGAUAUUAUAGAAGUGUAUUACUUUUUAAUAUUAAAAAAUAGAAUAAAUAGAAAAAAUUGAACUGCAGACACUAUUUGGUCAAUGUUAACAACCAAUAAAUUGUUUAUUGUAAGGAUACACUAAUUUUAUUGCCAGUAACAAUAUUAAUGGUUAUUCACGCUAAGAUAAGGGCAAAAAAAAAAAAAAAAAAAAAAAAAGUCUAAUGAUCCCUGAUGUAUGAUUACCAAAAGGUUCAUGAAGGAAUUUCCCUGUUGCUUACUUGCAUUUCAGAUUACAUUAAUGGUUAGACACAGUAAAGUAUUUUGGAGACUUGUUUCUGUAAAGCUGAGUCUGAUUUAUUGCCAGAGGCAAGGUGCCAGACUGGAUGCAUCAAGGAAUCUAUCUGCUAAGAAACACUUUGGUUUCUUUUGAGAGACUGUCCAUAUGCACAUUCGUACCAUAAGCGUUUGUCUGCUUCUCUGAGUUGAAGAAUUCUGACUUUUUUUGCAGUAUCCAGGGGAUCACUAUCAUGUCCUGUCCCCAUGUGAUAAAAUUGACUAAGAUUUGACCAGCUCACUUCAGGAGUAAUUUGUGACAAGGCCUUUAGCAGACACCUUAGCAAUUUAGCCUUCUCUUUCAAUUUGAUUGCUUCUGUGUGUGUGUGCAUGCAUGCGUGUGUGUGUGUGAGAGAGAGAGAGAAGCCUUUGCCCUGCUUUCCAUUUUGAAUGCAAUUUGGUUCUUACUCAUGGAAUUUACCUUACCUCCUUCUUCUUGUGACCUGCAGGCAGAAACUUUCUUUGCUUUUUAUUCUUAUCAGCUUGUUCACAGUUCAUAGGAGAUGUUACUUCACUGAAGUCAAUUACAUGUCUUUGUCCAACAGAUGCCUAGUUGGGCUUCAAGGGUAGGCCAGGGUGAUGUGGUUCUCACCACCUCAGAAGUGCUUAUAAAACAGUCAAGGAAUUCUAGACCUAGAUUCUGAUUGUCUAGAGAUUCUGCACUGCAGUUGUCUAAAUUGUGCUUUAAACCACCUGAAGUAUUUAUUUGCCUACCUUGAUUCUUAGAAAAAAAAGUCAUACCUUUAGUGUGUGAAGUGUUUGCAAGAACAGUGGACAUUUGGUCAUUGUGACACCUUUGGUAAGCACUGUCCACAGUAUUUCUUUUAUGGGCUCUUAGGAAGGUUAAGGAGGGAUUUGGACAGGAUCGCUGUAAUUUCUCUAUCUGAACUAGAUUUCCCAUUCUAUCUGCAUACUUCAUUCUUUAUCUAAAAUGUAGAGAUCCUACACCCUGCUAUAUGUUGACUAAUAUAUUCCAUAAUGCACACUUGAUGUUACUGGGAUCCUCCUUUAAAAAAAUCCAUGCAUGUGUGCAUGUGCACGUGGGAAGCAUAUGUACCUGUAUAUCAUUUAUUCAGGUUGUCCCUACUUAUUUCUGUGGUCUCAGACUUUUGUCUUUAUAUAGAAAAAAUGAAGUGUGAUUAUCCAAAGAUUGUGAGGAGCUGAUUAAAAAUACCGAAUGACACCCCAUUUGACACUCAGUAUCUCAUAUAUCCUACUUAGAAAGGAGAAGCUGGAAGUGGUGCUUCUGCCACUGUUUGUCCCACUUUUACAAGCUAUUUGCUUGUUAAGGCAAGGGAUGAAGGUGGCAAGGUUGUGCCUUAAUAUCCCAUGAAUCCUAAUUGUACGUAUAUCUGUCACAAUACAACUGCCAUAUUUCUGUAAUAUUUGCAUAUGCUACGUGUGUAUUCAUGUCCAGGGGAUCUGACAUAUCCAGAAAAUAUGAGUUCCAGCACGUAUUCUAUGUACUGUUUAUUUAGGCAUGACACAAUCUUAUUUUUCUUCCCAGUUUUUUUUUUUGUGUGUGUGUAAAACACGGUGCCAAGGAAAGCCUUCACAGAUGGUCACCUUAGCUCUCAGAGACAUUGUAUUCCUGUGAAACUUACUGGAAUACCAAGACUGGCUGUGCAUAUUUUUCACUCCUAACAGAAGACAAAUGUUACUUUUAGCCACUGCUGUUAAUAGUCUAGUAAUGUUUUAUCCAUCUAUCACCUUGAUUUCUUUCUAGUUUUUGUUUGCUUUUUGUGUUUGUGUGGCUUCUUUAUUGUUUUUUUUUUUUUUUUUUUUUUUUUAGUAGAACUCUUAACCAACAUAUUUUGAAUAAUGCAAAAGCCAAGUAAAGAAAUAUCUAUAGGUAUUUUGCUACAAACCC